rnacentral:rRNA from 1 species
CCUACGGGAGGCAGCAGUGGGGAAUAUUGGACAAUGGGCGAAAGCCUGAUCCAGCAAUGCCGCGUGAGUGAUGAAGGCCUUCGGGUCGUAAAGCUCUUUUACCAGGGAUGAUAAUGACAGUACCUGGAGAAUAAGCUCCGGCUAACUCCGUGCCAGCAGCCGCGGUAAUACGGAGGGAGCUAGCGUUGUUCGGAAUUACUGGGCGUAAAGAGUACGUAGGCGGUUAUUCAAGUCAGAGGUGAAAGCCCGGGGCUCAACCCCGGAACUGCCUUUGAAACUAGAUAACUAGAGUCUUGGAGAGGUUAGUGGAAUUCCGAGUGUAGAGGUGAAAUUCGUAGAUAUUCGGAAGAACACCAGUGGCGAAGGCGACUAACUGGACAAGUACUGACGCUGAGGUACGAAAGCGUGGGGAGCAAACAGGAUUAGAUACCCUGGUAGUCCACGCCGUAAACGAUGAUAACUAGUUGUUCGGUCACUUGGUGACUGAGUGACGCAGCUAACGCAUUAAGUUAUCCGCCUGGGGAGUACGGUCGCAAGAUUAAAACUAGAAGUAUAGCGNNGAGNGCGACGAGCACAGGAGGUAG